AUGGACUUCCUUUUUGUGUUUGUGUUUGUUUAUGUUUUACACUGAAACUCAUGACUAUCCUGUGAUCUUCAGUCACAGAGGAAACCAAAUGUAGACCUAAGAAAAAAAGGCCAAAAACGAAGUGCUCGUACCACAGCAGACUACAGACUUUCCCAAUCCGGAAUAUAAAAGAAGAAAGAGUGAGGAAGGGCAAAGCUGAAGUUUUAGUUGACUGGGAACCCUGUCCAGUAUGUGGUGAAGAGUGGGACCUGUCCUGGAAGCCAAAGGAUUCUGUUGUGAUUAAUACACCAGUACAGACUGUAUGAAGUGAUUUUUUUCCCUUAUAUUUAUUUUGUUGUUUCCCAGCUAUAUUCAUAUCUAGUUCUUCAGCAGUAGAGAUGAUGUGAUAAGUUUAAAAAGUUGGUGUAAGUUAAAAAGUAAAAAAAUACUUUAACAAAAAAUUGAAAAAGGAAUACUUUAUCAAAAUCAGUGAACAUGCUGUCUACAUUUCUUUUUCAUAUUUUACUGUUUGUAUGUUAUUGAUUAAAUACAAUUUCAUUCUACGUUCUCAGGUGCAAUUUUAAAGGUUCAGCUAAACUUUGAA